UGGGCCUUGAGUCUCUGUCCCCGCCGCCCUCCAAGGCCACUUGGAUCCUCCGGGACCCAGCAGGAAGGAAGCCUUUGCUGGCCUCUGGCUUCAGCGUCCAGGACACUUCCCGCGCCCCCUCCUGCCUGAGCAGAGCCCAGCUUGAAUCCAUCCCUUUGACUUGGGGGAAGCACCGCCCUGCUUUGGCCUCACUUCGGGGGCCAAAUAUUUCAAUUAUGAGGACGUGGUCAAGCCCUGCCCACUCCAGCCUCAGUGACGGGCCGUGAAGAGAGGGUGUCUCUGGGGGGAGAGGUGGGCGGGAUGCAGAGGGAGCCGCAGACGGGAGAGGGGACGGGGGCUGAGCGGGGGUUGGCAGAGCAGACAGGCCUUCUCCGCUGGCUGAGAACAAAACCACCGGCAGCGAGGAAAAUAUGUGCGAGGCAUUUUUGCAAUUCCAAGAGGCUCGGUCCAGCUCUCGCCCAGACGGUCAAUGAAUCAAAGCUGGGAAAGGCUCUACCUGUCAGCAGACUUUCUCCUGGCCCUGCUCACCAAGGCCCCACCCCUCUGGCCCCAGCAGGCCAGCUGGAACCCUCCCAGUUCCCCAGAAGGACGGUUCUUCGAAGAAGAGUGUGUCACAAGCAAAAGCCAGAGGCAGGCAGCCCACGGGCAGAACCCUUGGCAUCCUUCUCUGCCUGUUCUUCUCGCAGGAGCGUAGCCUGUGUCGCCUGUUACCUUGGGUUGAAUGGUGGCUCCCGAAAAGAUAUUUCCACGUCCUGGUCCUUGGAACCUGUGAAGGUGUCCUUAUUUGGAAACAGAAUCUUUGCAGAUUAAUUAAGUUAAAGAUCUCGAGGUGAGAGCAUCCCAGAUUAUCUGAGUGAGCCCCAAAUCCAAGGACAAGUGUCCCUAUAAGAGACAAAGAGGAAAGAAGAGGAGAAGACCAUGGGAAGGUGGAGGCCGAAAUCGGAGUGAUGCGGCCACAAGCCAAGGAAUGCCUGGGGCCACCAGAAGCUGGAAGAGGUGAGGAAGGAUCCUCCGCUGGAACCUUCGGAGGGAGCUCAGCCUUGCCAACCCCUUGGUCUUGGACUUCUGGCCUUCAGAAUAGCGAGAGAAUAAAGGACUGCUGUUUGAAGCCGCUCAGCUUGCGCCUCAGAGACUCACAGCUUCAGAGAUAGGAGAGUUUUUGUGGGAAUCCAGGCCCAGAGAGGAGCAGCGGCUUACUUGAGGGAAUACAGCCAGGACUCAGCCCAGAAUCACCUACUCCAGGAAGCCUUACUGGAUUGCCUUUCCCUUUGCUCCAGCUCCCCAUCCCCAGACAUUUCUAUGAAUGAGAUCAAAGAAUAUGCGGACUUUUGUGACUGGCUUCUUUCACUUAGAAUAACAUUUUCAAGGUUCAUCUAUGUUGUGCCACCCGAGCAGGUGUGGAGUGGGGAGCUUCACACCUUUUCAUUGCCAGGCAGCAAGGCGUGGUGACGGAGCCCUGAAGACAGACCCAGGGCUGGAAGCCCAACUCUUCACUUCUGUUGGGUCUUUCUGCCUCGCUGAGCCUCAUCAUUCUCUUCUGUGGAAUGGAACCACAGCACGUGGAUGAGAGACAGUGAAUGUAAGGUGUUUAGCAUAGUUGCUGGCAUACAACACAUGCUCAAUAAAUGUGAACUAUAAUAACAGCUACAGUGCUCACUCCAAAAACCUUGCACAGUUUCUGGCACACCGUAGGCCCUCGUGGGUGUGGGUGGAGUAACUGAUGGCAAGUGUGCCCCGGGAAGGGCGCCAGCUGAGGGCCUGGGCAGGCCUGGAGGGGGCCCUGGGAGGAGCUCACAGCCUCUGGCUCAGGGGCCCCUUGGCCAGAGCCCUGUCCAGCCCAGCUCUUGUCUGGCAUGGGGAGCAGUUUUAUUUCUACAGGCGUUUUGCGACUCAGCACAUGUAAGCUUCCUCCUGAUGGUUUGAAUUAGAAAGCAGCUGAUGCCUUCUGGAAAACCCAGGGAAAAACAUUAUUGUUGGAGGCCAGUCUCCUCAUUGGCAGAGCCGACUGCACUGGUCUGGCAUUCCGGAGCACAAAAGCCUUCGCCGGCAAAAUCGGAGCCUUCCCAUCGGGGCUCCCCUCCUCUCCGCCCUCCCUCUCAUCCAGCCCUGGCUGGGCCUGGCAAGUGCUGGCUGCCGGAUGGGAGUCAGGACAAGAAUCCUCUGGCUGUCUAGGCCCGUCCACUCCAGCAGCAAGUUGGUGGACGAGGUCUGACUCAACUCCCAGCCUGGCAAAUGUCUGGGGUCUGGCGUGCAGACGAAGGUGGUACCCACUGCAGGGAACAGGGCCAGGAGGAAGGUGGCAACAGGCUGGCUAGACACGGAGAUCGGAAAAGGAGAGAGUGUUACUGCUCUUAUUGGACGAAUGAGGAAACUGAGGCUCAGAGAGGUGAUGUCAGCUGCCCACGGUCACAGAGCCAGCAAGUGGUAGCCUGAGGACUAGACCCCAGGCCUGCUCUGAGGCCCACCUUGCCUUUUUGCACUGAGAAUGGGGGUAAAAGCACUUUGUGAACCAAAAGGCAUGGUAUACCUGGGAGGGUUUUAAAUACCAUUCCUAUUGCUGUUUUCCUGGGGAGGUGGUCAGAAGCUGGCAUGGCCUCCCCUCCAGCCGGCCAUCGGCCUUGCUGCAGCUUCUGCUUGGUCACCAACAGUUCGAGCCACAUGACCAGGGCUGCCUUAUCUCCUCGAGGGUGGCAGGCCCCUGUUCCCAGAAGCCCGGCUUCAGAUGGGCAGCAGCGAUUGUAGAGAUCUGCAGGGCCCCGAUAAAGCCGCUGCAGCAGGGGACAGACGGAUGGAAGUUCCCCUCAUGCCACUUCCUUCAGUGGCUGGUAUGGCCCCAGCUCCUUAAGCUCUUCCACUUCCUCACAAGGAUAGGGGCCCGGAGUGGCCAACAGAGCUCAGUGGGGUUCAGUCCCCAGUAACCCGCCCCCAUUCCUGGCAUCCCCCCUUCACGGCCCUGGGUCUAGGACCCUGGCCAUGAGGGUGCUCUUGUCUCCACCCCAGGGAGUGUUGGGACGAGCAGACGAGGUGACACUCGAUGUGCACGCGAGAGGCUGACGCUCUUUAUCCAUCUCCCCAGUCCGUGUGCCUUAGCCAUGUUGUCCCUCUUCUUUUCUGUGAUCUUUCCAAACCCUGCCCCUCCUAUAAGGGUGAGUCUGAAUGUCACCUUCUCCCCAAAGCUGUCCUGGACCUCCUCUGGCCUGUCACCUCCUGUGCUUCCUCUCGCAGCAUUGGAAUCGGCCCCUUCAGAGAAUAAAAGGACGGGAAGGAUGGCUAUCCACGUGCUGAGCCACAAAUGACUUUGACACUUUUCCCCUGCUGUGUAUGUGUUUGCGUCCCAUCUUUUCUGCACUGUGCAUAAUUUCCUUGUAUAAUUAGAAAAGAAUUCCAAAUAAAUGCUAUUGUCGAGAAGGAUCUGCUCCACUUGGUGGAACGCUUCAUUGAAACCAUGAGCCUUGCGUCUGUCAGUGCUGCGUUGACCGUGGUGGUCCAGGCAGUGGGUCUUACACCUGAUGCCCUGUGCACACCCACUCACCAUGGGACACGGAGCAGCAAUUCAUUCCCUUCGGGUGUGACUCUCACGAACUCACCAGCCUCACCUUUGUCCGCUCCAGCCCCGGGGACAUCCACCACUAUCUGUUGGAGGUGUCCCCGGAGUCCUCACCCACUCUCCCAUUUCCAAGGUCCAAGAUGCUGUCACAGUGCAGCUCAAAUUCCAUCUCCUCUGGGCUUCCUGGCCAUGCCUGCCCUGAGCCCGGCUCCUUCUUGGCCUCAGGUUGCUGAUUAACUGCCUCCCCCGCUAGACCGUAAGUUCCUUAGGAACAGGGGACACAUCCCACACCUCCCCGCCUCCCAGCGCCUGGCAUGGAGCCCGGCACACAGCAGAGCAGGUGCUCAGGAAGAAGUCGAGUGCAGGAACCCUAAGAGUGAUGAUCACGGUUAUGAUGAUGGCAGCCACUGUUUCCCGGACACUGACCUUGAACCUCCACCGCUCAGCUCGUUACCUGGAUUAUGUCAUGUAACCCCCAGCAACCUAGAGACUCAGGUGCUGAUAAGUGCAUCUUACAGAGGAGAAAAGGCAACCGUGAAAGGAAGGCCUGGACAUCAGACUGUGUGCUGGGGGCGGGAUGCUGGGGUGGCGAACCACCUCCUCCUGCCUUAGUUUCCUCUGCUGUACAGGGGCCUGACACCUGUGCUCCUUUCCUCCCUCCAGGGGGCUGUCGGGGUCGAACAGGACAGCGAGCACGUCAUCGAGUGCAAACAGCUGCAUAAAUGCAUGGCGUGGUGGA
rnacentral:lncRNA from 1 species